UAAAAGAUAAGCUAAUAAAGCUAAUGGGUUCAUACCCCAUAAAUGAAAGUAAACCCUUUCUCUUUUAA
rnacentral:tRNA from 1 species